rnacentral:tRNA from 1 species
GUGGCAAUAGCUUAAAAGGCAGAGCAGGGCAGAGGUUUCCUAUGCGGUGGUUCGAUUCCACCUUGCCACUA